rnacentral:rRNA from 1 species
UACGUAGGGGGCGAGCGUUAUCCGGAAUUACUGGGUGUAAAGGGUGCGUAGGCGGCUUGGUAAGUCGGAAGUGAAAGGUUGGGGCUCAACCCCAAAAUUGCUUUCGAAACUACUAAGCUAGAGUAUAGGAGAGGAAAGUGGAAUUCCGAGUGUAGCGGUGAAAUGCGUAGAGAUUCGGAGGAACACCAGUAGCGAAGGCGGCUUUCUGGACUAUUACUGACGCUGAGGCACGAAAGCGUGGGGAGCAAACAGG